AGACAUCUACACCUUCUUCACGGAGAUUUCCAGGAUGUUCAGGAGAUAUGAGAGACUGAGACCCUGCAUGAAGUUGUUGCCUACAGUGAUGUGGAGGAGGAGGGGCGAUGCUGAAGAAGAGCCCUGCGACACUCAAUGGGAAGGAAGAGCGCCGACUCCCACAUGGGGCCUCUGGAUGGUCCAUGCGUUCAACCAUUGACCUGUGAGAGGGCACACAAGAUGGUUGUUGACGCUCUGAAGUGUGAGAAGUCAGUGGACACACAGAGACCUGGAACUGGAUUCCUUUGCUGAGGAGCUAGAGGGGAACUGAAGCCAUGACAAACUGGCAUCCUUCAGCUACAUUGUGCUAACAGGAAACAAGGGUUGCCUCUGCAGAAGCAGAACAAGCACUUCCUCAUCCAUCAGUGCCACAUGAGCCAAUUUAACCACUGCAGGU